AUCAUUUGAGAAGCAAGAAAGGCAUCCUGCGCUCCUUCGGGAACCUGAUAUGAUGGAUACGCCGCCCAUCCAAGUGUU
rnacentral:ncRNA from 1 species